AGGGCAAGUCUGGUGCCAGCAGCCGCGGUAAUUCCAGCUCCAAUAGCGUAUAUUAAAGUUGUUGCAGUUAAAAAGCUCGUAGUUGAAUUUCGGGGUCAGUAGGCUGGUCGUGCCACAGGUAUGUACUGGUCUCACUGAUUCCUCCUUCCUGAUGAACCGUAAUGCCAUUAAUUUGGUGUUGCGGGGAAUCUGGACUGUUACUUUGAAAAAAUUAGAGUGUUUAAAGCAGGCUAACGCUUGAAUACAUUAGCAUGGAAUAAUGAAAUAGGACGAUCGAUCCUAUUUUGUUGGUUUCUAGGAUUGACGUAAUGAUUAAUAGGGAUAGUUGGGGGCAUUAGUAUUCAAUUGUCAGAGGUGAAAUUCUUGGAUUUAUUGAAGACUAACUACUGCGAAAGCAUUUGCCAAGGAUGUUUUCAUUAAUCAAGAACGAAAGUUAGGGGAUCGAAGACGAUCAGAUACCGUCGUAGUCUUAACCAUAAACUAUGCCGACUAGGGAUCGGAUGAUGUUAAUUUUUUAAUGACUCAUUCGGCGCCUUACGGGAA
rnacentral:rRNA from 1 species